AGUAAUACAUCGGAACGUGUCUUCUAGUGGGGGAUAACUGCCCGAAAGGGCAGCUAAUACCGCAUGAGACCUGAGGGUGAAAGGCGGGGGAUCGCAAGACCUCGCGCUGGAAGAGCGGCAGAUGUCCGAUUAGCUAGUUGGUGAGGUAAAGGCUCACCAAGGCGACGAUCGGUAGCUGGUCUGAGAGGACGACCAGCCACACUGGGACUGAGACACGGCCCAG
rnacentral:rRNA from 1 species